ACUGUGUGAAAUACUGCUGACAUAUUGAGCAAGAUGGGGACUAAGACGUGACCCAGAUUUAGCAACAUGGGAGCCAUUGCGGACCUGGAUAAAAACAGACCUGGAUAAAAACAGUCUGAGGAGCGGUGAGGAUGAAAGCCUGUAAGAAAUACUAUUUAUACGGCUCUAAUGGAUCCACUAACACGCUGCAGAAUGAGCUCCAGACGACAUUAGAAUGGGAAUGAAACGCAGACCUCUGUCACCCAACUCCAGGCAAGCUUCACAUGGAACAGACACACACAAGAGACUGAGAUAGAAACAACUAGAAAGCUGCUAAUUGGCACUUAACACUUGUAUAUUUCUGCUCUUUCCUUGGUCCGGGAAAUGUAAUACAAACAUAUCUAACAGCACUCCACACAUCUCAGGGGCUUACACUCCUGCCUCUCCUGUGUUCAUCAGACUGCCAAAGCUUUUUGUUAUCCAAACUUCAGCUGAAAGUGGGAUAUGAGGCACAAAGUACAAUCCUGAAAAUAUUGGCCAAAAAAAUAUGUUUCCCUCUCUCUCCCUACCUAGCUAUGUACCUACCUCUCUAUCUUCUAUCUUGUUUGUAUGGCUAAUUAUGCUGCACCUCAGGUAAUACUGGGCCUGAAUUUGGGGAUAAGGCUCUAAUGAUCCACGAACACACCCACACCGUCAACGUAGCAUGAACUGCAGACCUUAGUCACCCAACUCCAGGCAAGUUUCCUUGAGUACAGACACCCAGAAAAGACUGAGAGACAAAAACACAGAAAAACAUGACUUUGCUCAGCAAGAAAACCCAAGAGAAAUGUGCUUCUGUCCUCUGGUUUACGCAUUGAUCUCUGAUUUCCUGGUUCUCUACCUGCCCUGCUGCAGCUAGCCUCACCUCACGUGGCAAGUUGUUGAUGACUAAGGCGGAGGUUUUGUUUUAUUUUGUUUAUCUGGAUAAUUCCAGAUGUUAAUGACUUCCAAAACGCUUAUCCCUCUGUUUCUGCUCGGUUUGACUUUCUAAGUCCAUGCAUCCACUUAUGAUGCUACCUAGACCAUGAUUCUGAACUCUAGUUCUAUAGGAGAGUCUGACAGAGAGUUUUAAAAAUAUACUCAUCCCCAAGCAGUUGAAAUAGGUUACCUGGAAUAGGCUAACCAGUAUCCUUUAAUUAAAAAAAAUGGCAAAACUCUUGCCUAAACUACGUUCGGUUAUCUAUUGCUGUAUAAUAAACAACAUCCCUCAGGGCU
ensembl:lncRNA